rnacentral:rRNA from 1 species
UACGGGGGGGGCAAGCGUUGUUCGGAAUUACUGGGCGUAAAGGGCUCGUAGGUGGCCAACUAAGUCAGACGUGAAAUCCCUCAGCUUAACUGGGGAACUGCGUCUGAUACUGGAUGGCUUGAGUUUGGGAGAGGGACGCGGAAUUCCAGGUGUAGCGGUGAAAUGCGUAGAUAUCUGGAGGAACACCGGUGGCGAAGGCGGGUCUCUGGGCCGAUACUGACGCUGAGGAGCGAAAGCGUGGGGAGCGAACAGG